CCUGGCUCAGGAUGAACGCUAGCGGCAGGCUUAACACAUGCAAGUCGAGGGGUAGGGAAAGCUUGCUUUUCUGAGACCGGCGCACGGGUGCGUAACGCGUAUGCAAUCUACCUUUCACAAAGGGAUAGCCCAGAGAAAUUUGGAUUAAUACCUUAUAGUAUUAUAGAAUGGCAUCAUUUUAUAAUUAAAGAUUUAUCGGUGAAAGAUGAGCAUGCGUCCCAUUAGCUAGUUGGUAUGGUAACGGCAUACCAAGGCUACGAUGGGUAGGGGUCCUGAGAGGGAGAUCCCCCACACUGGUACUGAGACACGGACCAGACUCCUACGGGAGGCAGCAGUGAGGAAUAUUGGACAAUGGGCGCAAGCCUGAUCCAGCCAUGCCGCGUGCAGGAUGACGGUCCUAUGGAUUGUAAACUGCUUUUAUACAGGAAGAAACACCUCUACGUGUAGAGACUUGACGGUAC
rnacentral:rRNA from 1 species